rnacentral:misc_RNA from 1 species
CCCGUGAUAAAGAAGCCAAGCCAACCAGUUGGAAAAGCCAUGGAUAAUACUAAGCGCAGUGUUCCUAAUGUUAUCUUAAGAAAGCCAGCUAUGUUCGUUGAGGAUGAUGUGGAAGAUAAGUCUACUUCAAGGUCUAAAAUGAGGAUUAAACCAAAUUUGACCUUGAAAAUGAGGAAUGAUCAAGCCAAGGGAAAGUUUAGUGAUAUGACUCUGUUGAGAAAGCCAGAACCAUUGAGUGUUGAUAAAAAGGAAG